rnacentral:rRNA from 1 species
GAGUUUGAUCCUGGCUCAGGAUGAACGCUAGCGGCAGGCCUAACACAUGCAAGUCGAGGGGUAACAGGGAGUGCUUGCACUCCGCUGACGACCGGCGCACGGGUGCGCACCGCGUAUGAAAUCUGCCUCUUGCUGGGGAAUAGCCCAUGGAAACGUGGAUUAAUGCCCCAUAGUACUUAGUUGCGGCAUUGCAAUUAAGUUAAAGGUUUCGGCAAGAGAUGAUCAUGCGUCCCAUUAGCUUGAUGGUAAGGUAACGGCUUACCAUGGCUACGAUGGGUAGGGGCCCUGAGAGGGGGAUCCCCCACACUGGUACUGAGACACGGACCAGACUCCUACGGGAGGCAGCAGUGAGGAAUAUUGGACAAUGGGCGAGAGCCUGAUCCAGCCAUGCCGCGUGCAGGAAGACGGCCCUAUGGGUUGUAAACUGCUUUUAUACAGGAAGAAAAAGGGGUACGUGUACCCUACUGACGGUACUGUAAGAAUAAGGACCGGCUAACUCCGUGCCAGCAGCCGCGGUAAUACGGAGGGUCCGAGCGUUAUCCGGAAUCAUUGGGUUUAAAGGGUCCGUAGGCGGGAAUCUAAGUCAGUGGUGAAAUCUUGCAGCUCAACUGUAAAAUUGCCAUUGAUACUGGAUUUCUUGAAUUAGUGUGAAGUGAUUAGAAUGUGUAGUGUAGCGGUGAAAUGCAUAGAUAUUACACAGAAUACCAAUUGCGAAGGCAGAUCACUAACACUAUAUUGACGCUGAGGGACGAAAGCGUGGGAGCGAACUAGCUGUUGGAGAGCAAUCUUCAGUGGCUAAGCGAAAGUGAUAAGUAUCCCACCUGGGGAGUACGUUCGCAAGAAUGAAACUCAAAGGAAUUGACGGGGGCCCGCACAAGCGGUGGAGCAUGUGGUUUAAUUCGAUGAUACGCGAGGAACCUUACCAGGGCUUAAAUGUAGAUUGACAGGGGUAGAAAUACCUUUUCCUUCGGGCAAUUUACAAGGUGCUGCAUGGUUGUCGUCAGCUCGUGCCGUGAGGUGUCAGGUUAAGUCCUAUAACGAGCGCAACCCCUAUUGUUAGUUGCCAGCGAGUCAUGUCGGGAACUCUAACAAGACUGCCAGUGCAAACUGUGAGGAAGGUGGGGAUGACGUCAAAUCAUCACGGCCCUUACGUCCUGGGCUACACACGUGCUACAAUGGUAGGUACAGAGAGCAGCCACUGGGUGACCAGGAGCGAAUCUAUAAAACCUAUCACAGUCCGGAUCGGAGUCUGCAACUCGACUCCGUGAAGCUGGAAUCGCUAGUAAUCGGAUAUCAGCCAUGAUCCGGUGAAUACGUUCCCGGGCAUUGUACACACCGCCCGUCAAGCCAUGGAAGCUGGAAGUGCCUGAAGUCCGUCACCGCAAGGAGCGGCCUAGGGUAAAGUCGGUAACUAGGGCUAAGUCGUAACAAGGUAGCCGUACCGGAAGGUGCGGCUGGAUCACCUCCUUU